CACUGUCGUCCUCCGUGGCGGAGUCGAAAAACCCGAUGCCUCAUUUGGCGAGAUUUGCUGGCGGAAGGCGUUUAGAGGAAUUCUAAUUCUCUCCUCCUGGUGGAGUGUUCUCCUUGUGGUUUGGCCUGUGGUGUCUUCCUGUUUGGAUUUGUUCUUGACGUGUGGUCAUUUUACCUGACUGUCGCUGGACUGUUUGAUACUAGAUCUAUAUUCCUAAAGAAACUGUUACCGGAGAUAUGUGGCCGUGUUCGCUGUAACUUCCAGGAAACUAUUACUCAAAAGCAACUUUUUCCAACUCUUUUCUUUAAACCAAUGAAGUAGUUAGUUGCCCUCACAAACUGUACCGAUGCGAAGAGAUAAAUCAAAUCAUCGAUGUCUUGAUUAUGUUGUGACUGUGUUGCCAACCGGAGAACUCGUUCUGGUGACUGUGUGUUUGCAUUCCAGGGCAAUUUGAUUGAGGGGCAUUUUAUAGCUAGGUCUAAUAAUACCCCUUUUCAUUCCUUAGAUAGAAUUUAAAACAAAAAGGACUACAAAAACAACAACAAAAACAACAACACAGAAAAAAGAA